CCAGUUGCUCCUCUUGAGAUCAGCAAUCAGGGCAAACAAUCAGCCAAAGCGCCCGCCUCUGCCUGCCACUUUCAAGGGCCCUGCUAGCAUGUAAGCUCCAUGGAGACAGGGACCUUUGUCUCAUUGCUGAUGGAUUCUAGGACAGUCCCUGGUACUUAUCAGGUGCUCAAUAAAUAUUUGUUGAACAAAUGGCUCUUAGAUGAUGUACUUGGAAACGGCUCUCUGCUUACUAGUGUCCUUUUAGCACUAUGGCAUUUUUAUUUCUUAGGAAAAAAAAGCUUUUAUUUAGGUAAAAUUUAUACACAGACAAAUGCAAAGGUAUUCCUUAGCACAAUUUGAUGAGCUUUGACAAAUGUAUUACCUCUGCAACCAAUCAAUAUUUGUAAUAUUUCCGUCAUCAUUUUCAAGAAAACAACACCUUUUGUUGCUUAGUUUGGGGCCUUUCCUCACUUUAGAGUUCUUGUCUUAUUUUACUCUACGAUAAGGACUCGGCUGCCUUCACCUUCCAAGGUGUCCCAAGGUAUAAGCUCAGUGAGGCUGGGAUGCUCCCCAGAGGCAGGCAACUAAAUAAACAUUGAAGUAUGCACACCUGGACGGUCUGAAGGUAAAGCCUUCAGAUGCACGGAGAGGCACCUGCCCUGUUUCUGAGUGCAGCGCUGGGUUCAGAAACAUGGAGAGAAGAUCCUGGGUGGAAAAGCAGAAGAGGCUUCCUAAGUUGAAGAAAGGACAGGGUCAGGGUUUGAGAAAGGCCAGACAAUGAGACACAGAAAGAUCACAAUUUUGUCUCAGGUCAGAUCUACUAUUCUUACAAACAAAAGGAUUUCCUUCUUGAUCAUUUCAGUGACUAAAUAGCAUGUUUCAUCUCCACACCAAAACCCACACCCCAGGUUUACAAGUGAGCACAGUGUCUUGUACCCAGUAAAUGUUCAACAAAUGAUUCUAGGGUGGAAUUUAUUGAACACCUAUCUUAUCUCAUGGUACAGCUGCACCUGACCCAAUUAACUGCAACUCAAAGGACCCUGCAGGAAAUGGGCUAAAAGCUGGAACCCAUCAAUAGCAUCAUGAUCAAGAACACAGAUUCUGGAGUCAGGUUGACUGGGUUCAAAUUCCAGCACUACCACUAGAUUUGUAACUGUGUGCAUGUCAUUUAACCUCUCUGUUCCUUAGUGUCCCAUCUGUAAAGCAGAGCUGAUGAGAAGGAUGAGCUUCUUAUUAGGAUUAACCAAGAUGAUGCACAUAAAAAGCAUAGCACGUGCCUAGCAUAUAUGCGUGCUCAGUAAGGGUCAGCUGUCAUGAUUCACAACUCUGAGAAUAGGGUGAGCCUCACAAAAACACACCUAGCUGCAGGAGCUUAGCAAAAAUUAUCUAAUCCAUUCUGGAGCCAAGCUGCAAUAUUGGUAGGAUGUGGCCUCGGUGGGGCAUGCACAGUCCCAGCAGACAAGGAGCCUUGGAGAGUCUGACAGGAGGCUGCGGAACACCCCAAGGAGCAAGGACAGAAAACUUUGGAAUUCAGAGAUGGUAGAGAUUGAAGGAUAGCCUGGGAGAAAUCCUUAACGUGAAAAUGGAAGUUAAAAAUAGAUGACUUGUCUCAGCAAUGAGAAGGCAGAUGUUAUGCCUUCAAAACUCAUAUGUCCAAUUUCUUCCCCCAAUUUUUUGUUCUUACCCCAAUUUUGUGUGUGUGUGUGUGUGUGUGUGGUUGUGUUGUUUUGAGACAGGGUUUCAUUCUGUUGCCAGGCUGGAAUGCAGUGGCACAAUCACAGCUCACUGCAAACUUGACCUCCUGGGCUCAAAUGAUCCUCCCACCUCAGCCUCCUGAGUAUCUGGGAUCACAGGUGUGCCUAACCAUGCCCAGCUAAGUAUUGCAUUUUUUUGUAGAGAUGGGGUCUUGCCACGUUGCCCAGGCUGGUCUCCCGGACUCAGUGAUCCACCUGCCUCAGCCUCCCAAAGUGCUGGGAUUACAAGCAUGAGCCACCAUGCCCGGCCUCUCCCCAAUUUUUUGUGGGGCAACUUGUUUCAUACCAGACAUAUGCUCAAUCUGAGGUACGCAAAUACAUCACACAUUUGUCAUAAGGGAUUAUCACAAUUAACAAAGAAUAUUGAAAAUACAAAUAGGAGGAAAAAGAAUUUACAAUGUAUGUUCAUGUUAGUGGGCCCCGCUACAACGUAAUUCCAGCUCUGUAAAUUGGAUUGAUACUGAAAUGCAGCUGCAAGUUGGUCCGGACUGUGAGAGCUAGGGUCUGGAAAACUGGGCAUCACUGCAACCCUAGAUCACAGCAAUGCAGGGAGGGAGAGAGGCACAUCUUCGAUGAGAAGCUGGUUCCAAGUUUUUUUUUUUUCUUUUUCAGGCCACUUUCUCAACAUCAUGAUUAUUAAUUAUCCUUCUCUAUAGUACCUAUUACAAGGAUCCCCUCCAGGGAAAAAGCAGUUGACCUUUAAAAAAUGUAGUCUUUAAAAGGUUUAGACCCAUGACUCUUCCCUCUGUGAUGUUCUGAAAAUGCUUCCCUCAGCAGUUCAGCUGUGACCCACAUGGCACAAAUAACAUUUCAGGGAAAUUACUUGUCUCUGUCUCCGAAACUAGGCCUUUACAUCUUCUAGUCUCUGUCAUGAUUUCUUUUGUUCAGCUGAUGAGAACUCUAUCUUGUUCUCUUGUUCAACCAUCUUGGUGAAGGCAUCAGAGUUCCACCUGUCCAUUUGCUGAUACAGCUCCCUGGGAUAUAGCUCAAGAAGCCAAGGCUGAGCUUUCCUGCUCCUUGAUGUGGAGGCCCAGGAUACUCUCUCUCAGAAAUAAAAUUCCUGGUUAUCUUACUUCACUGGGAUGGGCAGCCCUCUUCAAUAAACAAGAGCUGUCACAGCGCCUUUGGAAGCAGGUGGCACUGCCCCCUCCCUGGCAGGCUUAGCCUUUGGUUAGCACAGAAGCAGUUUGACUUGAAGACUGAAGAAGGGAUUCCUUCCCAGGGGACUUGUUCAUCUGGCAGCAGGUCUGGUUAGAAAUUUACCUGUUGGCACAGAAAUAAAAGAACAGAGUAAUUCGGUGAAAGCAUUACAAUCAACAGGUCAGCCCUUUCUGAGUGAAGGCCUGAUGUUGGAGUCAUCACACCCCACCAGCAGGAACGAGCUGGCCUAUUAUCAGAUAAAAACAAUUAACUGCCUGCCAGGAGGCAGCACGCUGCUGUGGAAUGAAUGUCCUUCGCUUGUGUCCCAGCGCUGCCACUUCCUGGAUGAGUAGUCCUGAGCAAGUGAUGUCAACUUUCCAAGCUUCUAUUUUCUUAUUUGCAGAAUAGAACUAACAAAACCAGCCUUGUAGGAUUGGGAGGAAUGAUUGUGUGAGAUCAGCAGUGGAAAAUGGCCUGCAAUGUGCUUGACACAUAGUAGGCCCUCAUUAUUGCCAGUUUCUUCCCAUGUUUCCCUUCCCUGCACUUUUCCCUCUCCUGUUGGCUCCUAGGAAAGCAUGGUGAAUGGGAAGAAAUUAAAAGUGUGAAGAAAAAAAAGGAUAAUCCAGGCAGAGAGGAAAACAAACCUGGAAGGAAAAGUCUGAGGACAUUCAGGCAGCCAAAACAAUGAUGGUAUUUGUGUGUUCUAGUAAGUUCUGUGGUGGAUGUCUGCUCACUUUUUCUGUCUGUCCAAUGUCCUUUCUCCCUGUAUUCGUUUUCUGCUACUGUAUAGCAAAUUACCCUAAAGUUUAGCAACUUAAAGCAACAUAGAUUUUUUUCCCCCCAGUUUCUAUGGGUAAGGAGUCACCCAGCUCAGGGUCUCUCCCAAGACUGCAAUCAGUGUUUGCCAGAGCUGUCUUCAUCUCCAUGUUCGGAUAGGGAAGUAUCCAUUUCCAAGCUCGCUCAGUGGUUAUUGGCAAGAUUCAGUUCCUUGUGGACUAUUGGAUUGAGGGUCUCAGUUUCUUGCUGGCUUUGGCCAGAGGCAACCCUCAGUUCCUUGCCAUAUGGGCCUUUCCAUAAGGCAGCUCACAAUGUGGGAGGUGGCUUCCUCAGAGUGAGCAAAGGGGAGAGAGAGAGAGAUCACAAACUUUUGUAAAAUAAUCUCAGAAGUGAUAUCCCACCACUUUCCUCAUAUUCUACUCAUUAAAAGUGACUUACUAGGACCAUCCCACACUCACAGGGAGAUUACAUGCAGGCUUGAUAACAGAAGGUGGUGGUGAUCACUGGAGACCACCUUAGAAGGCUAUCUCAUUGCCUUUCUGAUAAGAGCAACCCUCCUUCUUCUGUAAAACCACAUAUGAUUCUUGUGGGGCUGCUCUCUGUAACACCUGCCACUCCCACCCCAUUCCCACACUGAAAUGGCCUGAGAUCCAGGUCUGGUGGAUUAUCAUAGCACAUCUUGUAGCCACAGUGAUUGGUCCAAGAUGGAGCCAUGUGACCCAAGCUUGGCCAAUCAGAGCCUUUCCCUGGGAUAUAUAGCAACAGGGAGCGAGACGUUUUCUCUUUCAUCUGAAAUAACUAACAUCAGAUGUAAGCUUGGGGUUUCCCAUGGCCCUAUCUUUCAGGAACCAUAUAAAGAAAUUGGGCCGGGCGAGGUGGCUCACACCUGUAAUCCCAGCACUUUGGGAGGCUGGAGUAAGUGGAUCACUUGAGAUUAGGAAUUCAAGACCAGGCUGGCCAACAUGGUGAAACCUCAUCUCUAUUAAAAAUACAAAAAUUAGCCAGGCGUAGUGGCGCAGACCAGCAGUUCCAGCUACUCAGGAGGCUGAGGUGGGAGAAUCACUGGAAUCCGGGAGGCGGAGGUUGCAGUGAGCCAAGAUCGCACCACUGCACUCCAGCCUGGGUGACAGCGAAAGACCCUGUGUCAUAAAAAAAAAGAAAAAGAAAACAAAAGAAAGAAAUUAAUUUCAAGUACACCAGGAACAAUUGAGGCCAUCAUAUUCUGAAGCAGAGAUAAAAGAUUUGAGAUUAAAGAGAAAGUGCAAAUAAACUAGUGACAUUUUCCUGAAUCCUGGAUGCUGCUUUCACCCCCCAAAGCUAAUGUAUCUCCCUUUUUCACUUGAGAUAAUUUAAAUUGGGUUCUGUCACUUGCAAGAAAAAGCAUCUUGAUCAACUUAGCUACAGUUUUUGCAUCUACAAAAUCAAGGAGCUGAACUAAAUGAUUUCCAUGUUUUUUUCAUAUUUCAAGUUCUAAGAUUCUGACUUAAAAUGUCUGAUUUUUUACUAAGAAAUAGAUUUUUUUAAAAGCGAGGAAAGAGCAGGAGAAGCAGCCUGAAAGAAAAGGAAUGCAGAAGAGGGAGACAGGGUCACUCCUGGGACCAGUGAGAGCCAAAGACCAACUCUGCCUGCUGCAUGAUUUAGACAAGACUCCCGAUUUUAACUCAGGACUGUAAGAGUGCCCUGCAAAAGGACUCACGCCUCUAGUGAUCCCAGGUAAGGCCCACACAUAGGUUUCUCUGACAUGCUGUUGGAGUCAUGAUGACACAGUAGUUGAGGGCAUGGGCUUUAGAGGCUGCUGCCCCUGGAUUCAAUGAUUAUCAUUUUCAUCACAGCAUUUACUGAGCGUUUAUGACAUACCUGGAAAUAUCUCAAGACCCAGCCUCUUCACUUACUAGCUAUGUAACCUUAGGGAAGUGACUUAACUGCCACAAGCCUCUGCUUCCUCAUCUGUAAAAUGGGUGUCAUAAUAGUUUACUUCUCACAGGGAUGUUGUGAGGAUUCAAUGAGUCAAGAACAGUAUCUGGCACGGGCUCAAGCAUCAAGAACAGUAUCUGGCACGGGCUCUUCCUAAAAUGUUCCUCCUUGCCUUUUACACACAGCUCAAAUACCAAACAUCCACAAAACUUCCCCAAUUGUACUCCACCUCCUCUGUCUCCCCCGAGCACUUUGUUCCUGCCUGCUGGCUUUCUUUCUGCACACAUUAUUUAAGAGGUAGAAUGAUCAGGAUUUCUAGCUCUGUAUUUCAUUCACCUGCUCACAAAUCUAUCACCUGUGUGGCUCACCAUACCUUAUCUUUGGGUUCCUGAAGCGUUGGUCAAUGACAAACACACAGGAUCUCAACAAAUUUAAAUGGAUUGAGUAAAUAAUAUUCAGCCAUCUCUCAAGAUCAAAGCAGACAGUAUGAUCAGUAGUACGUGCCACACCUUUUGGUUUCACCACCUCAGUGAGCAUUAAGGAUUUUUGUCAGGCGAAACUGAUGUGUGAUUGUAAAGCUGCUCCUCACAUGAAACCACCAAUUGCUCAAGCUAAAAGUAACAAUUCCUCACAGCUGGCAGGCCAGCCCAUCUGCAACUGGCCGUGGAGCCUGUGUUAACGGGUGCGGUGCUGCUAGUUUGGAAGCUGACCAAAGAGACAGUAAACACAAAGGUUGCCUGGGUGCAUAAAUACAAAACGAGCUCCUCCUUGCCUCAUCCCCGAAACAGGCCAGUCACAGCAUCAGGGACUCCACAAGUGUCUACUUGUCAGCUCCUGUCAAGUGCAACGGCAAGGACCUACCACCCUCAAGCUGCAGAUAUUAAGGAUGAAAUUGCAGGAGCUGCGGUUUUAUAAGAAGCCAAACAUUGUGUGCAUUCAGAAAAAGAUAUUUUUCUAAGGUGAGUACAUGGCAAGGUCAUGUAUACGGAGAGGAAACAUUUCCCCACUUCUGGCUAAAAGAAAAUGUGUUAAACGUGUUCACCCGGCUAACUACAGAAAGAACCUCUGGGGACAAUCUGGUAUGCCGCAUGAGACUGACCAUGUGGCACCUCAUUUCUCAUUAGUGCAAAUCUUAGGGAAGCAGUACAAAGUGCUUUUGAACCUAUAAGGGAAAUGAGACGGAUAACUGGCUGGGGUGGCAUGAAGUUUUCUAAGUAAAUAGUGGAAUAAAAUGUAUGAAUAUAAUUUUUAUUCCCUUGUGUUGAUUAGAAUUCAACUCGAGGGCAUGGUAAGGCUUACAGGAUCACAAUGGUGAUCUCUCAAAUGACUGGAAUUUUUUUAAAAAAAACUCUCUUAUUCUCAAUUCCUCUUUUCUAUCUGUGUGUUUUUAUUAAUUCACUCAUUUAUUUAUUUGUACCCUAUGCCAUUCCUGAACGCAAUGCAGCCUUAUGCUCUGCAGGCACUGGGGAACUGACAAUGGCUUUUGAGCAGGGCAACUACAUGAUCAGACAUGAAUUUUAGAUGAUCUGGAAUCAGCGUUGAGGAUGGAACUAGAGAAGACAGAGGUUGGUAGUCCUCCAGAUGAGUCCUGACUAGAUACCAUGAAGGAGAGAAGACACAUUAUUUAAGAGGCAGAAUGAUCAGGAUUUCUUGACUGGGUGACUGUGGACAGUAGCAAAACAGUGAAAAAAUAACUAGAAAGUGACUUUUUCCAUGACUUUGUGAAUGAUGACACUAACUCAAGCAGAUUGACAAUAUAGGAAGUGGACCAGUUUUGGAGUAUGGGUAGUAGAAAGCUCGAGGAAGUGCUUUAGAGAAAGGCGCCAUAUAAUGAUGCUAAGAUUUCAAUUCUCUGUCAAGUUGCCAGUGCAGGUGACAGAACAUGUGGCUAAUGAAGGUCUACUCUUGCUCCCUGUGGGCUGAUUGCCAGCUGCACCCUUUGAAGUUGUCCUACAUCCUCAUCAUGCCUGAUGGUGACCGCUAGGCUCACUAGAGGAACUUUGAGAGAGUGUGGAAAUGGAACAGUACAAGCCCAGAGACAUCCUUAGGGACCCAGCCAGAAGGCCUCUCCUACCGAUGGGAUGGUGGGAUUGGAGCAGUGCCAGUUUUGCUUCUUCUUAAUUUUUGAAGGGUGGGCAGAAAUCUAUUGCCAGUGGAACACUGAGUAUGCAAGGGUAGAUGACCUCACAACUAGGGUGACUGUCCUCAGGCCCUGCCUUGAGUACUGUCUCCCAGUCUGUCUUCACAGCUCGAGGAAUGGAUCAGGGAGAAGAAUCCUCCUUUCCAAUCAUCCUAGUCUCUCUCUUUCCCCCCAGACACCUUCUAUCUAUCUCGGAGCCUCUGCUGCUCUUUCUGUAUCCCUGGAAUGACUUCCUUUUCUACACUGGGUGAGUCUCUGAGCUGGGAUACUUCCUGGAAGGGAGAGCCGUUAUCUGCUGGAGCAGUCAGCUGUGGACUCGCUAGGCUGUGUCUAUGACUGCUGCACAAAUAGAAGGAUUUCGUUCAGCUUGGGAAUUUUUUGUGUAUUCUUUACCUAUUAUCUCAUCUUGUUUCUAAAAAGAUUCGCUGCAUCUUGCAGUAUAACAGGAGUUGUUUGCUUUUAUUUUAUUUUAUUUUAUUUUAUUUUAUUUUUUAUUAGAGGGACUGGGGAUGCCCUCCUUGGGGCUGAGCCAAGGUGCAAAGGUAGAGCUCCCCCUGCUGGCUGACUUUUGCUCCUGCAGCCCUCGGGCGUCUGACGCUUUCGCGUUUAUGAAGUCUUGUAGUUUCACAGGGGAGAAAAUCAGUGUCGCUCAGCUUCAGGAGGUUCGCUUGCUUUCAGAAACAACGGUCAGUGUGACUGUUGGACUGAACAUGCUUAAAACUCAUUCCAUCACUUUCUGUCAUUAUCUUUCACUAGCUCUUGCACAAAUAUUGAGGCUCUUAGUUUGUGGGACAUUGACUGGGCCCUGACCCAGAGGCAAGCAUUUUGCUAGCACCAGGAACACUAAGGCCAAAGAGACACCCUCCCUGACGUUGGAGACCAGCAUAAGCGAAGCUGCCCUCUUUCAGAUAGGAAAGCCCUUGUCAUCCCAGGAUGGGGACACUCAAAAUGAAAGGAGCUCCCUAGACAGGGCCCCAGACCCAGGUCCAUUCAGGAAUAGGGGGUAUUUUAUCACGAGUUAACUUUGAGUUAUCCUGGCCCCUCCCCUAGGCUGACCCGGCAGGUGGGAGGGAGAGUGAGGCAUCCUGAAGGCUGCAAGCCUGGCUGGCUGUGAUCCACGCAGGAGAUCUACACCUCAGAGCACUUCCUCCCACUGGGCAGUGGACCACUCGAGCAGCGGUUCUGAACACCUGAUCCCCAGACUCAUCGCAGCAGCAGCAUCUAGGAACAGGUUUUUGUGGAGAGACUGAGAAAAUCACUUCCUGGAGAAAUGAAGGCUGAAAGCCCUGGCAAAAAAGGAGAUGGUUCUCUAGAGACAGGCAGGAAAAAAGUUUCAGGAGGAGACAUGUCAGGUGCUGAUGCGAGAAGCAAAGGUACCAAUGUUGAUGGCACCUUCUUCCAGAUCGUAAAGGGCUUCUCCUUGGGUUCAAGCUUUCUGCAAAUGGCAGCAGCUGGGCAGGCUGCUAAGCAUAGAGGAGAGUUGCCCUCACCUGAUCCUGAGAACCAAGACUAAGUAACGCAUCCUGGAAAGGCCCAGGCCAAACAGAGGCCCUGUGGCGAGUUGCUCCAAGGGAAACCCAGGAACGGAGAAGGAAGGAGGAAGUUUGGGAAGCAGACCCAUGCUUUGACUGAAAGGUGAGCAACAAUAGAAGGAAGGGGAAUAAAAGCCUUCCGCUUUCGUCAUCCCUGCAAAGAAAAUGGAAUUCAUAAAUUUGAGACUCAAAUGUACUCUGCAAAAUUUUAAAAUUUGCAGCAUUUUGUUAUUUGGGGGCCGGUGUUAGACUGCAGAUAAACAUGUAGUUUAAUACAUACAUAUUAUAUCAGAUUACAUAUUGCUACAAUUAUUGGAGUUGCUUUGCUGUUUGCAAAAUGAGCCUUGUAGGAAACAAGUGUUUCCAAGUAAAUGAUGACUGAAAGAUUCUAUGAAGAAGAAAAAAAAUGUAACCAUAAGGUUUAAAUGCUUUAGAGGAAGUCAAGCUUGGAGGACAAGUUAUAUUUGUGUUUAGAAGCCAUGCUGGAUGCUACAAGUGUGCAUUAUGAAUGUGCACAGUAAACGGGAGGCAAAGGAGCCAGCAGGGCUAUGAGGAUGGGGGUGCUAUGGGGACAUAGUCAUAGACAGUUAAAGAGCAUAAAGAAUAUCGACAGAGUUCAAUGAAUAGAAUGGAGCUACCCUGGGAGAUAAAGAUACACAAUUAGGUUGAAGCACAACCAGAUAGGUGAUAUAUUAUGUUCUUUCUCAAGGUUGGCUUUUCUGUGCUGUUUAUCUCCCAAGAACACUUGAGUUGUUGCAAGCAAACUUUCUGGGUUUUUUUUUUUUGUGGAGAUGGAGUUUUGCUCUUGUCACCCAGGCUGCAGUGCAGUGGCAUGAUCUCAGCUUACUGCAACCUCCGCCUCCCGGGUUCAAGCGAUUCUCCUGCCCCAGCUCCUGAAUAGCUGGGAUUACAGGCACCCACCACCACUCCUGGCUAAUUUUUUGUAUUUUUAGUAGAGACGGGGUUUUGCCAUGCUGGGCAGGCUGGUCUCGAACUCCUGACCUCAGGUGAUCCACCCUCCUCAGCCUCCUAAAGUGCUGGGAUUACAGGUGUGAGCCACCACUCCUGACUGCAAAGCAAACUUUUGAGCUGAGAACUGAAGUCUCAACUCAAGCACAGUCCACUAACUGUCUUCCCUAUUGCUGUAGAGCCCUUGGUAGGGAACUAAAGACCUUCCACAAGCUGAUCUCAGUCUGCCUUCCCAAACUAAGGCACAGAAGAGCCAGCAGUUAAAGUAUUAGACUGGGAAAAGAUGAGUUAACUUUGGGCCUCUCUAACCCCACUUUGGUAGUUGAGAGAUAGCACUGGUUGCCUAAUAAGGAGUGGGAUGGUGGCAAGUACAAAGCUUGCUCAUCCAUCCAGGCAUUGUCCUAUCCCCUCAGCUGCCCUUUCUACUUCCUUCCUCCUUCGCCCCCACCCCAUCUUCAAGGAAUUUAGCUAUACUCUGCAGGUGCCCUCUGACCAGCCAAAAUCAUCAUCACAGCCAAAACCAUACUUGCCCACCUUUUGACAUGCUUCAAACUUACUACGCACCUUUCCUUUCACUUUCUACCCAACUCUCCAGACAAAUUCACAGAGAAAUCCUGGCAUUAUUGUCAUAGCAAAACACAGUAGAGAAGCCUUACUGUUAAUCAACAUGGGGAUUAGCUAAAAAAACAAAAUUGUGGGCCGGGCACGGUGGCUCACGCCUGUAAUCCCAACACUUUGGGAGGCCGAGGCAGGCAGAUCAUGAGUGAGGAGAUCGACACCAUCCUGGCUAACACAGUGAAACCUCGUCUCUACUAAAAAUACAAAAAUUAGCUGGGCGUGGUGGCGGGCACCUGUAGUCCCAGCUACUGGGGAGGCUGAGGCAGGAGAAUGGCGUGAACCCGGGAGGCGGAGCUUGCGAUGAGCCAAGAUCUCGCCACUGCACUCCAGCCUGGGCAACAGAGCGAGACUCCACCUCAAAAAAAAAAUUGUGGUUGACCCCAUUAAGGAAUACUAUGCAGCCAUAAAAAAGAAGAGGAAUGCACUGCGUGAAUUAAUAGGGGGAAAUGUCCAUGAGCAUUCUUUUUUCCCAAGUAAUUUUCCCAACACUAUGUCUGGAGAGAGAUGAAUCCAUUUUUUAUAAAAUAAAACAAAAUAAAAACUAUAUAGAUGUCCUGAGACCCACCCCCACCAAGAGUAUGCCUGCAGAAAAACAGGUAGUCUGACUUGGCUAAGGUCCGAGCUACUUGCCUUGCUGGUUUGGAUUGAGUAUACACACUGGGUGAGUCUAACGGUGGACGUGGAGGAGUAGGAGAACCAGAGCCAGUUCAGGUGCAGGGAGGCUGGGAGAAGGCAGGCUUGGAAGAAAGAAUGAGGAAGGGAAAAGAAAGGGCAAGAGAGACAGAGAGAGCAGGUGCUGUGGGGAGAGGAACUACUUCGGGGACAUCCUACUGGCUACCCUGAAAAUCAUGGGAGUAUUUUGGUGUGAUCACCACUUUCUAAAGCCAGUUUUUCAGCUUGGAAUAUUUUUUUUAGCCACUGUGGAAGAAACAAAACUUCUCAUCGAAUAUUAGGUUUAUAAACUGUCAGAAGAACUUUAUUUUAAAGCCACUGCAAAAGGAAAAUAAUUGAGCUGGUGUUUGCUGCCUAAAACACCAGAGGUCACAUAGUAUGGUCUUAAAGAAGAGAAACUCAGGGAAAGGAGGGAAAGAAGAAGAAAAAUGCUUUGAACUUAAUAUGUAUAUAUCUUCAUGUGACUAAUAAGAGGUAAUUUUUGAGCCAUUACCAUCUGCUAAAAUUACCUUUCAUGACUGGCUAAGCCUUUAUCACAAGCCUUUCAAUUCAUGCAGAUGUAACAGGUUUACAUUUUACAUGGAUAAGGCCCUGCAGAAAAACAAUUUGACAACAAUGGUGUCCUUAUCCCUUCAUAAUUAAUGACAACAGAGAAAUCUGUAUCUUGAUGGAUAUCAGCACACAUGUUUAUCCUCAUUCGAGACCUUCACCCCAUUCCAAUAGUCAGCUGUCAAAAGCUUUUUGUUUAGUUCAUUAGGUUCUCACUUCAGCUUCCUUAUAAGCAAAAACAGAUGACUUACAACAGAAGAUGGAAUAAGCAAAAUAUUUUAGAUCCGAGUUAUUUGUUUCACAGAUUUCAUUUAAUGUAAACUGAUUCCCUUCAUAAGGGGAGAUAAACUCCUGGAGAGUUCUGUUGUUGUUUCUAAUUUAAAUAUAUUUUCUAUAUUUUCCAAAAGGCGUAAAUAAAUGUGUUUUAAUUUGUAACCACAAAAAUAAUUUUUAAAAAUAGUAGAGAUCAGGCCGGGUGUGGUGGCUCACGCCUGUGAUCCCAGCACUUUGAGAGGCCAAGGCAGGCGGAUCACUUGAGGUCAGGAGUUCCAGACCAGCCUGGCCAACAUGGUAAAACCCUAUCUCUACUAAAAAUACAGAAAUUCGCCGGGCACAUCUGUAAUCCCAGCUACUCAGGAGGCAGGAGAAUCGUAUGAACCCAGGAAGCAGAGGUGCAGUGAGUGACAGAGUAAGACUCUGUCUCAAAAAUAAAUAAAUGAUAGAGACCAAUCAUAAAAAGUAACUGCUUUGUAAAAGCUUUAGUCCUCACCCUGAUUCCCCACUGCUGCUGUGUCCUUCCAAAGAAGAAUUAGCGUCUCCUCAAACAGGAAAGCUGAUUUUAAUGGUGGGCCCAAUUGAUGACUGAGUCUGCCUGGCUGGCCUGAUGGCAGUCAUUGAUAUCCAUGGAAGAAGCCAUGUCUUCUCAGGAGUUUCCACCAUUUGUGAAGAAAGUACCUCAGUCAGAGCUUCAGGUGCCUCUAGUAGCCUCUAGCUGCCUUAGUACUUGUGAGGCCACAGCCCUGCUCAUUUAGCCACCAUGCCUCUGUUUCCCACAGAAGACAAAAUAUAAAGCAUCCAAAAAGUGUAUGUCUCAGUCAGGGUCCAGACAGAGAUCAACGGGAGAUUUAACACAGAGAACCAGCUACCAGGGUGUUGGAAGAGCUGAGAUGCAGAGCAGGGGUCAAUGAUGUGACCCAGGCAUCAGCAACAAUUGGAAGUUGUCACCUGCUCUAGGCUGAUGGGACAAACUUAUUACCCGUGCCCAGAAGCCAGGGCUCCCUGGUGAGAACUGGCUGCACCGGCAGAGGAGCUGUCUCACGGGAGGUGGAUGUGAAGGAGGCACAGUCCCUGUUGGAGAGGCCACUGGAAGCAGAGAAAUGGGGAGAGGAAGGAAUACCCAGGCUUCUUCGUUCCCCGCUCCAUCCUCUCACAGUGCCUCCCAUUAGCGGAAGUUCUCCAGAAGCCACUUGGCAAAGGAGCCUGAGAAAGAAAGGAGGAAGCACUGAGGCAACAUGAGCUGACAGUUUCACUCUGUCCUUUCUUCUGUAUUCCGAGUGUAGCCCACUCACUGUUGUCUCCCACUUGAGUCGUGCAGCAUCCAUCUGACUCGUCACCCCGCCUCCAAGACAGUCUCCACACCACCGCUAAACCUCCUCAGGGGCCUCUCGGGAUCUUCAGGUGCAAAGCUACUGCACGGUCCUUCUGAGCUGACCCUGCCCCGCUCUACCAUACCUCUUCCAAUGGCCGCCUCACAUCCUAUGCUCCUGCCAGACUAAACCUUCUUAUUGUUUAUUCUUUCUUUAUGAAAACAUUCAAAAGAGCAAAAAGGCCCAGAGAGUAAUACGAGGAACAUCCAUGUAUCUACCAUCAAGUCUAAACAUGUAAAACUUUAUAAAGCCUCUUGUGUAACCUUUCUGUGAUUACACUUCCCUCUUUGAUCCACUGCCAAUGAAAACCAUCAUCCUGAAUUUUAUGUUUAUCAUUUUCAGGUAUGUCUUCAUGCUUUGAUAAAAUACAUAAAUAUCCCUGAGUGAUCAAUGAUAUUGCAGGUUUUCAGGCAUUAUAUAUAAAGUAUCAUAGUGUGUGUACCCUUUAGCAACUUUUCCACUCAACAUUACAUUUAGGAGCUAUAUACCUGUGUAUACAUGGAGCCCUACAUAGUUCACUUCUAACUGUUCCUUACCAUAGAACUGUACUUACACUAGGUGGAAUAAAUUGCCUUAUGAGUGUCGGACUAUAAAAUCAGUACACUAUGGGUUAAAGCAGAUAUACAUGAAGCCAUCCUCAAAAGAGUCAGAAUAGGUCUUAAUAUGAUUAAACAUACAAACAUACCACACUGAGCGAUAUAUCACUCAGAAAAUGGUUGAUCAGCAAUGGAAGCAUGGAAAACAGAGAGUAAGAGGAAUAAUCUUCAGAAGGUAGCUUAGUGUGUGGGAAGAGUCAGUUGAAGUGUCGUCAAGCUAUAAAAGUUUGAUGCUUCCUUCUCCACUGUAAAAUAAUAAUAAUAAUAAUAAUAAUAAUAAAAAAGACCAGUUUAAUCACAUGGUUGAGAGCCACAUUUUUCUCUUCCUUGGACAAGGUCAUGCUGUGUUUGCUUCUCUUACUCUCUGUUUUUCAUGCUUCCAUUGUUGACGAACCCUUUUCUGAGUGACAUAUCGCUCAGUGUGAUACGUUUGUGUCUUUAAUCAUAUUAAGAUCUAUUCCAACUCUUUUGAGGAUGGCUUCAUGAAUUUCUGCUUUAAUCCAUAGUGUACUGACUUUAUAGUCUGACAGUCACAAGGCAAUUUAUUCCACCUAGUUUUAAGAACUUCAAGUGUAGAUCAUCCAAAAUAUUCACAUCCUUUGAUCUUGUAAUUUCCAUUUUAGGUAGUGGCGGCACACAUCCUCAAACGUGCACUGGUGUAAAUGUUGCAAUGCUAUUUAUUAUAUCUAAAAUUGACACGUAAAUAUGCCUCAAUAGGAGACUAGUUACAUUAAUUAGGUAUUUCCAUUCAAUUAAAUACAAUACAGCCACUAAAGAGGCUUCAAUCGGUUUUCAUUUAUAGUACUUACAUGGAAAAAGAUACCUAACAUCUGUCCAAUAGAAAAAAAGCAAGUCAUGAAGUAAUAUUAAUAGUAUUACUUACUUUUAAUGUUAAAAAUGUUUAUAUAUGUUUAUAUAGGCAAAAAAAGUCUAUAAAUACACACGCACACACAAGUAGCUGGGCUCAGUAGCGUGCAUCUGUAAUCCCAGCUACUUGGCAGGCUAAGUAGGAGUAUCCCUUGAGCCCAGGAGUUUGAGGCUGCAGUGAGCUGGGAUUGGCCACUGCACUCUAGCCUGGACAGCAUAGGGAGACACCCAUUUCAUACCUUAAAAAAAUACACCACAGGAAUUUUUAUGUUAUCAAGAUGCUAACAUUGGUAAUGGCUGAGAAGGUGGAAUUGUGUAUUUGGGGUAGGAGACAUUUUUCCCUUUUUUGUAUUGUUUUAUAUUAUAAUCUAUUAUCUGAGAAAAUACAUUUCUUGGCUUUUUGCAUUUUUAUAAUUUAAUUUCUAUUUUUAAUUAUGUAAUAUAAAACUAAAAAAUACAAAUAGAUUUUUGUGGGGAUAAAAAUAUGUCAGAUUCAGAAUUUUAAAACAUGCCUUUGCUAUUUAUAUGAACCUCAUGAUAAAAAGUAAGGAGAAGGCUCACCAGCCAGGAGCUGAGAACCGCCACCUCGAGUUCCUUAGUGCAUGGAUUUAAUCAGUUCUCUUUUAUACCUUAGUACAACCCAAAAUUCAGCCUUGCCUCAGCCCACUCCAGGAACUCCUUUGGGAGCUACAGGGGAGGAAGGGCCUUGUGUCACCUGGAACACUGAUCCAAACAAAGCACUCGCGGGGAAAAUAGAGGCUAUCCAUCUUUGGCAAACACCCAACCUGGAGGACAGAGUUGGGUGGGAUCACAGAUCUCUCUUCCACCCAUACUCAGCAGGAUGGAGGGCAUGGAGCCCGAUUCUCGUCCAUUAAUCAACUUUAACCCUUCCCUUUAUCUCUAUUCCCAGAGAUAAGACCAGUUUCCUAACCCUUAAGUCCCUUGCCAGAGAUCUCUGUUAUCCUGAAGUUUAGUAUAUGAUAUUUCCCAUGCACGCUUUUAUGCUGUAAAAUAGCAUACAUAGUGUUUUAUGUUUAAAUUUAAAUCAAGACUUUGAUGUUAUGUGUAUCUUUUAGGAACUUGCUUUCUUUUUCAAUCAACAUUUUUGAAACUUAUCUAUGUCUAUUCAUGCAGAUCUAUUUCAUUUAUGUUAAGUGUGAGUUACCACAUUUUAUUUACCCAUCUCCCUACAGGUGAACAGCUGGAUUAUUUCCACUAUGUUGCUGUUAAAAACAGAGCUAUAAUGAAUAUUCUUGUAUUUGCUCUGUGUGCACAGGUGCUGAAAUUGUUUAAGGUGGUUAUUGUCAUAGAUAUUUUCAGAACUUCCUUAUAAUGCAUAAUGAACUCUGAAAAAUUUAAAUGAAUGGCUCCAUUGUUCUAUGCAUAUAUGUAAUUUUUUCUUUUUUUGUUACUGUUUGUUUGUUUUUAAGACAGGGUCUCACUCUGUCACCCAGGCUGAAGUAUAGUGGUGUGGUGCAAUCUUGGCUCACUGCAACCUCCACCUCCCAGAUUCAAGUGAUCUCCUGCUUGAGCCUCCCGAGUAGCGGGAUUACAAGUGUGCGCCACAAUGCCUAGCUAAUUUUUGUAAAGAUGGGGUCUUGCCAUAUUGGCCAGGCUGGUCUUGAACUCCUGGCUUUAAGUAAUCCGCCCGCCUCAGCCUCCCAAACUGCUGGAAUUACAGGCAUGAGCCACCACACCUGGCCCACAUAUGUAAUCUUAAAUGUCUCUGGAUUUGUAUGGUUUGAUCCCUUAGUGCAUGUUAACACCUUAUACUAAGAUGAAAGAGAUGGCAAAGUCAGCAGUAAUGAUCCUUACACCUUAAAAAGAGAAGUAGGAUGUUAUGAUACUAUCUGACCCUUGUUUGUCUUUUUAUGUGUGUGUCCUAGCUCCCCAGCUAGACCCAGAGCUUCUUGUCAGGAAUGAUUAUGUGUUAGACUUCUUAGAAUUCUCAGUACGUAGGAGAGUGCCCUUUACUUGAUGUAACCUCUUGCUCUUAAGGGUGUGCCCUCAAACCAGCACCAUUGCCAAUACCUGGGUGCUUGUUAGAAAUGCAGAAUCUUAGGUCCCACCCGAGACCAACUGAAUCAGGCUCUGCAUUUUAACAAGAUCCCCAAGUGACAUUAAAGUCUGAGCAGCACUGUUGUAAACUCAUUGUUUCCAGGACCUUACCAACAUAUGUGUUUAAUUUUGAUCAGGUUAAC
rnacentral:lncRNA from 1 species